CACGAGUUGACCAUGCUUUCACCAUGCGCGUUCACAGGGGAAGGACCUGUGUUCCACCGGUCAUCUGAAGUCAUUCUAUUUCUCCGGUUGGAACGUUAUUCAAGAUAUAUGUAAACAACAUUCUAAAGAUUGAUUCAGUACAUCGUUUGACAUGUUUCUACUGACUGUUACGGAACUCUUGGACAUUUCGUCACGUUAUAGUGGACGUGCUUUGUGACUUUGGAAUUGUUUACCAAACACACUAACUAAAGUAGCUAAUUGGACAUAAAUAACGGACAUUUCGAACAAAUCAAACAUUUAUUGUGGACCUGGGAUUCCUAGGACUGCAUUCUGAUGAAGUUAUUCAAAGAUCUAUCCACUGCCUUCGACACAGUGAACCAUCAGAUCCUCCACCACUCUCUCAGGGCUGAAUGCCUCAGGCUUUGCACACUCUUGGAUUGCAUCCUACCUGGCAGGGCGCUCCUACCAGGUGACGUGGAGAGGAUCUGUGUCUGCACCACAUACUCUCACUACUGGUAUUCCCCAGGGCUCGGUGGUGACACACGUCUCUGCGUACCUGGCAGAUAACUCAGCUUGGAAGUCGGCCCAGCACCUCAAGCUCAUUUUCAACAAGAUGGAGCUGAUCUUCAUCCUCAGGAAGGCCUGCCAGCUCCAAGACUUCUCUAUCAAGGUUGACAACUCAGCGGUGUCCACCUUCCUGAGUGCAAAGAACCUUGGCGUUACCCUGGACAACACCCUGUCAUUCUCUGCAAACAUCAAAGCAGUUACUCGCUCUUGCAGGUUCAUGCUCUACAACAUCAAUAGAGUAUGACCCUACCUCACACAGAAAUCGGCACAGGUCCAAGUGCAGGCAGUCAUCUUUCGUCUGAACCAGCUUCCCCCUGAAGCUAGGACAGCAGAGUCCCUGCCCAUCUUCCGAAAACAUCUGAAACCCUAACUUGUCAGAGUAUCUUUGAAAACUACCACCCCCCUUUAGGAUGGGACCCUUUUUUUUCAAUUUUCGCCUAAAAUGACAUGACCUAAAUCUAACUGCCUGUCGCUCCAGACCUGAAGCAAGGAUAUGCAUAUUCUUGAUACCAUUUGAAAGGAAACACUUUGAAGUUUGUGGAAAUGGGAAAUUAAUGUAAGAGAAUAUAACACAUUAGAUCUGGUGAAAGAUAAUACAAAGAAAAAAAUGUUUUUUUGUAUUGUUUUUGUUCCAUCAUCUUUGAAAUGCAAGAGAGAGGCCAUUAUCUGACUUAGGACUCUAGGUACAAUUUAUUUCUUGGCCACUAGAUGGCAGCAGUGUAUGUGCAAAGUUUUAGAGUGAUCCAAUGAACCAUUGCAUUUAUGUUCAAAAUGUUGUAUCAAGUCUGCCCAAAUGUGCCUAAUUGGUUUAUUGAUACAUUUUCAAGUACAUAACUGUGCACUCUCCUCAAACAGUAGCAUGGUAUUCUUUCACUGUAAUAGCUACCGUAAAUUGGACAGUGCAGUUAGAUUAAAUAUAUAAAUAAAAAAGUAUUUUGUGAACUAACACUCGCACUUGACUCUUUUCCCUGUUACUAUCUCUGACAAUGCUGAGAAAAAUGUCUUACUAUGACUGUGAAAUGUGGAUGUCCC
ensembl:lncRNA